UGGUAUUGUUGUAUAUGUGUCUAAUACACAAGGAAGGGAUGACCCAAGGAGUAUAUAUAGACAUGUGGUGGUGAUGGACGAAAGGUACUUGUUUAGUUGUGCGACACUAUAAUAGAUUGAUAUACUUUUAUAAUUAGUCACCGGUAAAUGAUGAAACUCAUAGAAACAACUUCAUCAUAAUAAACGUCAUGAAACCACACAUUUUGCGUCACACCAUCGGGGAAUGGCGGCGAGCGGCAUCGGAGUUGUAUAUUCUAGCUGCCCUCCAUCUAUGCACGAAUACAAGGAGAGGUGGAGUCACCACUGGCGAUUUUAGCGAAAUUGUUUUUUCUCCAAUUUGUGCACAGGCUGACGCAUUUCUAGGCCUACGCAAUAGCCUGCUUGGUGAUGCAUCCAAACGUCAACGAGCUCAACAGUUUGCCCAUGGCACUGUGUCGUGUCUCAUCGAGCGCAAUCGUUGUGUUGGCGCUCCUCGUCACCGCAGAGCGCCCCAACAGAUGCCCCACCAUCGCCCUUACAUUGGUAGCAACCGUGGCUAUGGUCGCUGAGUGCCUCAAUUGCCACUCCACCCAUCGUAUUUACAUGGCUCAGUUCACGUUGUAUGGGGAUGGAUGCGGGUGUAUAGAAGAAGACGAGGAUAUGGGUCAGUGGGGAAGAGACCAGUGCAGUCUGUGGGGAAGAGAUCAGACCAUGGCCGACAGUGGUGUAUGGGCAAACAGACCAGGAGGGUUAAAUAAUAUAGGCCUAGAGGACAGCAGCGCAAGUAAGAGUGCCUGCUGCACAAAUAGCUUACAGCCUAUCUUAUUCUAUGCUCACUAGCUAUGUAAUUCUAUUGGGGUGAUACUUAGCAAUCAUAAAUUUUUUGCAAUACCAGUUAAUUGAUAUUUU